GAGGAAGGGACUCAGAUAUGCAUCAGACUUAUGACUAAAUGAGAGAUACUAAUUUUUUUGUAAGUAGUUUGGGUGAAGAGAAUUAAUGCAUGCACUGAACACUGUAGAAAUAAAAAAAAAAGCAAUGGGUUACUAAAACUAUUGGGAAAAUAAAAACAAAUUAACUCUACUUACUUAAGUUCAAGAGUUAAAAAACAACAACAACAACAAAAAAAAAACAUUGCAUGCAAUUCCCACAAGUCUAACCAAAACCAUGGAAAUAUGGAGCUUUAAUGAAGAUUGGUUUGUAUUGUUUGGGGUAAAUUUAGGUCAAGGGAGAAAGUUUGAAGGUCAGUUCUGCAUGUCAGAUGAGAGCCUACCGCAUGUAAGACUGAAGAAUGCUGUACAGUGUCUAUCUGGAGGCUUAGAGGAAGACAUUUUGAAUCUCCAGUGACUCUAGAGUUGUUUUUAUCAUGGGGGAUAUUUUGCCAAAAUAAGAAAAAAAAUUAUACGAAGUAGAUUGAGAUUUCUCUUGUAAAUAAUGUCAAUGCAGAGAUAACGUAAUUCACAAAUGACUCCUUAAUUUAUUCUGGCAGUUUCUCAGGAGGAAAAGUAAUACAAACCCUUUGGGACAGCUCAAUGACUAUCUUUUCCAUGCACGACAUUGAUGGAUAGUUCUGUGGGUGACACCGUUAGAGGAGACUCUUGGCAACAGAGUUGUAUACUUUGCAGAUUCUUGAUUGGCCUUUCCCAGCUUGACCUGCACGAUCUUGGCUUAUUUUAUUGUGUCUGGGGUUUCAUCUUUUCUGGGUUCUUGCCUACAGCUUUGGCACUUGAGAGUCCUCAGUUGAGAAAGUCCUAUCUAAGUUCAACUUUCAUGAUGCAAGAGUCUCUCUUAUACCAGAGUAAAGUGAAGCUCAAGGGUCACAUGUCUUUGUCGCCAUCUUUGUCAUCAUCUUUGUCAUCUAGCUCCAAGCUUGCUCAGAUUUUACAAAUGUAAAGUUUCUCUAAUAGCUUAGUGGCUUGUUUGGCAGGACUUUCGAACAACUUAGAGACAAUCAGUAAGGGCAAAUGGGUCCUGAAGUAGCUAAUAGCGGACAGUGUCUCAUCCUGAGGUCCUUAUAUAUGUGUGGCCAUUCAGUGUUUGAUAGGGAUGCAUGUGAGGCAAAGGAAACUAUGCUUCUGUUGCUAGCAUUAAGAAAAUGAUGGUCACACUUUGUAAUUAAAAAGAUGAAACUCCAUAAAACAAACAAAC
ensembl:sense_intronic Gm10115 predicted gene 10115